AAGGUAGUGAUGGAAUAGGUAGACAUGAAUAGCUUAGGCCUAUUUGAUUAUUAUUAUUAUAUCUUAUCCGUUCAAGUCGGAUUUACCUUA